CAUCACUUUCUUCUCCAGCGCAAUGCUUAUCCAUCCGUCUCCAUUCAGAUGCACUGCAUCCCAUCUCACUUAUUCUCUCGCUCCAUCUUUCCUUCUCAUCCCAAACGCCGCAGCCAGUGUGAAGCCUCCAAAGUCGCUAGCGCCCCCACGUUCCACCGGAGCGAGGCGCCGCCGCCGGAUCUCGUCCCCUCCCCCUCCCCCUUUGCCGAUGUGAAGCCAAGUCGCUGGAGCAGAGAUCUGGAGCGCCUCGCCAGAUCUCUCCUCUGCACCCCUGCCAGCCGCGUCAGGCUCCGCCUCGCUACUGGCGGUCUCUCCCCGGCAAGCCCAUCGGCCGGUGAGAGUAGCUCACUCUCGAUCCCCUUGUGCUCGCGCGCCACCAGGGGAGGAUGAACCCCUUGCACCCGCGCCGACGACCUCUCCGAUCGGCACCGUGCCUCGUCCCGAGCCAUCGGGGCCGAGCGGCUGUAGCGGGCCAGAGGCAGCGCGUCUGGCAGCGACGACCUCUCCGAUCGGUCCUGCUGCAUCACGCCCGGCAC